rnacentral:lncRNA from 1 species
AGAAAGAAAAUUCCCAUAACGAUGCACAUCAUUUCACAUCCCAACCUUCACAAUGAAGAUGUUACUUCCACCAGAUUUGAUCAAACAGGAACACGCAUGCAUCAACUACUUCUCAGAUGAGGUGAUAAAAAACAUCUCGAGUCCACUACACAUCCCAGGAAGCACAGGUACUUCGCGUCUCUUGCGCGGCAGCGUGGUGCUAGCCGGACAACACAUCGGCGUGGGCAUGGCACAACCCUGAGCUGCCGGUGGAUGUACACGACGCUGCUUAGAUCCACCGUUGCCAUCUACAACGUGGAGAUUGAGGAGAGGUAAGGAGGUGGAAGGUGUGGGGCGGGGCGGGGCUGGUCGAGAUCAAGGGGGCGUCCAUUUAUAGAGUAGACGAGAGGAGAGGAGAGGGGAGCGUAGGCAGCGAUGGGAUGAACGGACGGAUGCGUCGGUUUGGGAAGAGGAUAGAACUAAUGGGGUGCCUAGUUUCAAGGAGGAAGACGAGGGAAUCAAGGGAGGCUCUCUUGAUGGAAGGAAGGAAGGAAGGAAAGAGGUGUAUUCAUCCAGCCGUGGAAAACGCUAGCUGCAUGCAGUAAUUAUUCCUUUAAUUUCCUUGUCGCCAGAUUGACGCACACGCGCGAUGGAUUCCCUCUCUGACUCUCUCUAUGGUAUGGUAUGGUAUGUACUGCACAAACGAUUUAGUCCCAGCGCUCCCAGAAAUUACGCCGGCCACGUAAAGGUAGCCAGGCACUUUCCAUGUGUGUAUGCAGUAACUUCUUCCCAUUUGCUCGUGUCAGUUUUUAUUUUUUUAGGGAAUUUGCUCGUGUCUGUAUCUUUAUUUUUAUCUGUUUGAAGGAAUUUGCUCAUCUAAGACAAGACUCGUUCUCUAUAUAGCCAGGUGGGUUUUUUCUGUUCACAAUUUGAUUUUCUCAUGUAAGAUAAGACACCAGGUUUGCAAGUGCAUUCCUAGCAUAAAAGGUUUUUCUGUUCACAAUUUGAUUUUCUCACGUAAGAUAAGACACCAGGUUUGCAAGUGCAUUCCUAGCAUAAAAACACCGGCUCCAAUCCAAUUACCAGGUUGGCAAGUUUCAAAGUCCCUGCAUUGAACAUUUUUUCAUAACUUGUUAGAUUAUAAUUGAAAAAACCCAGAGAACACUCAUUCAUUCUUGACACCGACAAACUCGGUACUCUCCUCUCCUAGGGCAAUGAAAAUUUUCUUGUUGUACCAUACAAAACACCGACAAACAGCUCAGGAAUUCCUUGAUGCAAUGACUAAUAUGAUCAACUUAACUCUUGAUGCAGUUAACCCAGAAAGAAAAUUCCCAUAACGAUGCACAUCAUUUCACAUCCCAACCUUCACAAUGAAGAUGUUACUUCCACCAGAUAUGAUCAAACAGGAACACGCAUGCAUGUGCGCGCGCACACACAGCGCAGUGCAAUACAUCUUCACCAAAACAAAGUUAAAUAUCUAUGUCAUCAACUACUUCUCAGAUGAGAUGAUAAAAAACAUCUCGAGUCCACUACACAUCCCAGGAAGCACAGGUACUUCGCGUCCUUCCAUCACAAACAUUACAACAUGACAGAGCCAAACUACUACAUACAUGGCUUAAUUCUGAAACCUAACCCAUCAAUGGAGAAAGCUCGAGGACGACGCCGCCAUCCAGUGCAUCUUUAUCAGCAGAGAAAGCCCGAGGACGACUGCACCAUCCAGUGCAUCUUCAUCAGCGGAGAGAGCCCGAGGACAACGACGCCAUCCAGUGCAUCUUCAUCAGCGAAGAAAGCACGAGGACGACGGCGCCAUCGUGUGCAUCUUCAAGCCCAAACCGCGUCAACUUCUGCAGCACCGCUUGGCAAGAGAAAAUGACCGGUGUCGCGCGCGAUGGAGAUUUUCCAUCAUGUCCGGUAGGUUUGAUGGACGAAAGGAGUAUCUUCCCGAGGAAUGCAAUCUGGGUGGACAUAAAAAGAUCAGUCUAGUGCAGAGGCAAUGUAAUGCAUCAGAGGAAUGUCAGAUUUCUCAGCAGUAAGCCACACAACAAUUCUCUUGUGUCAAAGGGAAUUUAUAGGAAUUAACAAGACAACAUCUUCCCCUAAAAACAAUGCAUACUUAUUCACCAGCCUAGGAAUGCAAAGUGCUCGUUCCAGUUCCACACAAUGAAAGUUAAGUGUUGGACCUGAUCAAGACAAGACAAAAUUGCCAUAGAUAGGCUCACUUGUGUGACCAGCAGAAGAAUUUUCGCUACAAGAUCUCAUCUUGGCUUGUCAAAUCUCAUACUAGACAAAUUGUUGGACACUAGUGAAAACAAGCAACAUCUCCGGGUAAUUGACGACCGGG